GAUGAACGCUGGCGGCGUGCCUAAUACAUGCAAGUCGAGCGAACAGACGAGGAGCUUGCUUCUCUGACGUUAGCGGCGGACGGGUGAGUAACACGUGGAUAACCUACCUAUAAGACUGGGAUAACUUCGGGAAACCGGAGCUAAUACCGGAUAAUAUUUUGAACCGCAUGGUUCAAUAGUGAAAGACGGUCUUGCUGUCACUUAUAGAUGGAUCCGCGCUGCAUUGGCUAGUUGGUAAGGUAACGGCUUACCAAGGCAACGAUGCGUAGCCGACCUGAGAGGGUGAUCGGCCACAUUGGAACGGAGACACGGUCCAGACUCCUACGGGAGGCAGCAGUAGGGAAUGGUCCGCAAUGGUCGAAAGCCUGACGGAGCAACGCCGAGUGAGUGAUGAAGGUCUUCGGAGCGUAAAACUCUGUUAUUAGUGAAGAACAUAUGUGUAAGGAACUGUGCACAGCGUGACGGUACCUGAUCAGAAAGCAACGGCUAACUACGUG
rnacentral:rRNA from 1 species